rnacentral:rRNA from 1 species
AUAGCCCUACGGGGCGCAGCAGUGGGGAAUAUUGCACAAUGGGGGAAACCCUGAUGCAGCGACGCCGCGUGGGCGAUGGAGUGCUUCGGCAUGUAAAGCCCUAUCAGCAGGGAAGAAAAUGACGGUACCUGACUAAGAAGCCCCGGCUAAAUACGCGCCAGCAGCCGCGGUAAUACGUAUGGGGCAAGCGUUAUCCGGAUUUACUGGGUGUAAAGGGAGCGUAGGCGGCCUGGCAAGCCUGAUGUGAAAUACCGUGGCCCAACCCCGGGGCUGCAUUGGGAACUGCCAGGCUGGA